UUUACCUGCCCAGCUGGUCAGAGCACCAGGGUGAGCAAGUUUGAGGGUUCAAACUCUGGGGAGACCCAAGUCACAGUGGGGUCCCUCACCUACCUAGAGAAGGCAAAAGUAACAACAGACAGAAGUCAUGUGAGUGAGAAGUUGCAGGCCCUGCUCCUUGUCUCAGUCCGGGAAUCCCAAGAGUAUGGCUUCCCUUGAAGAGAUGUCCCAGGACUCUGAACCUGCAUCUGAAGCCUUAAUCUCAACCCUCCUCCCUGUCACGACCACCUCGACCUGCAAGGAAGACGCGACUCAGGAAUCCUUCUCAUCAGCGGUUUAUUCAGGAACCUUGAAACAACGUAGAGGCAGCCACGGGAAAAACCCCUCCUGCUCCCUAAAUAGCCGAGGCCAGCCAACCCUGAGCAGCCACGUGUGUGCAAGCCAUAGGCUCAU